rnacentral:rRNA from 1 species
GAAGAGUUUGAUCCUGGCUCAGAAUGAACGUUGGCGGCGCGCUUAACACAUGCAAGUCGAGCGAGAAAGUUCCCUCGGGAACGAGUACAGCGGCGGACGGGUGAGUAACGCGUAAGAAUCUACCCUUUAGUGAAGAAUACCCUCGAGAAAUCGAGGUUAAUACUGCAUAAGUCCCUUCGGGGAGAAAGAUGGCCUCUUUGCUGUCGCUAAAGGAUGAGCUUGCGUACUAUUAGUUUGUUGGUGGGGUAAUGGCCUACCAAGACGAUUAUGGUUAGCCGGCCUGAGAGGGUGAUCGGCCACACUGGAACUUAGACACGGUCCAGACUCCUACGGGAGGCAGCAGUGAGGAAUAUUGCGCAAUGGGCGAAAGCCUGACGCAGCGACGUCGCGUGGGGGAUGAAGGUUUUCGGAUCGUAAACCCCUGUUAAGUGGGAAGAAAGAUUUGUUUAAUAAACAAAGAAUGACGGUACCAUUAGAGAAAGCACCGGCUAACUUCGUGCCAGCAGCCGCGGUAAUACGAGGGGUGCAAGCGUUAUUCGGAAUUAUUGGGCG